CUUAGCACGCGAGAUACACCUGUUCCCAUGUCGAACACAGUAGUUAAGCCGCGUCACGCCGGAAGUAGUUGGGGGUUGCCCCCUGUGAGAUAGGGUCGAUGCUAAGC
rnacentral:rRNA from 1 species